UAGGGAAUUUUCGUCAAUGGGCGCAAGCCUGAAUGAGCGAUGCCGCGUGAGUGAAGAAGGCCUUCGGGUCGUAAAGCUCUGUUGCGGGGGAAAAAAGGCAGCAUCAGGAAAUGGGUGCUGACUGAUGGUGCCCCGCCAGAAAGUCACGGCUAACUACGUCGCC
rnacentral:rRNA from 1 species